rnacentral:rRNA from 1 species
UACGGAGGUUGCAAGCGUUAUCCGGAUUUAUUGGGUUUAAAGGGUGCGUAGGCGGACCUAUAAGUCAGUGGUGAAAGACUGUCGCUUAACGAUAGCAUUGCCAUUGAUACUGUAGAUCUUGAGUAUAUUUGAGGUGGGCGGAAUGAGUAGUGUAGCGGUGAAAUGCUUAGAUAUUACUCAGAACACCAAUUGCGAAGGCAGCUCACUAAACUAUAACUGACGCUGAGGCACGAAAGCGUGGGGAUCAAACAGG